rnacentral:rRNA from 1 species
AGUGAACGCUGGCGGUAGGCCUAACACAUGCAAGUCGAACGGCAGCACAGUAAGAGCUUGCUCUUACGGGAGGCGAGUGGCGGACGGGUGAGGAAUACAUCGGAAUCUACUUUUUCGUGGGGGAUAACGUAGGGAAACUUACGCUAAUACCGCAUACGACCUACGGGUGAAAGCAGGGGAUCUUCGGACCUUGCGCGAUUGAAUGAGCCGAUGUCGGAUUAGCUAGUUGGCGGGGUAAAGGCCCACCAAGGCGACGAUCCGUAGCUGGUCUGAGAGGAUGUUCAGCCACACUGGAACUGAGACACGGUCCAGACUCCUACGGGAGGCAGCAGUGGGGAAUAUUGGACCAUGGGCGCAAGCCUGAUCCAGCCAUACCGCGUGGGUGAAGAAGGCCUUCGGGUUGUAAAGCCCUUUUGUUGGGAAAGAAAAGCAGCAGGUUAAUACCCCGCUGUUCUGACGGUACCCAAAGAAUAAGCACCGGCUAACUUCGUG